rnacentral:rRNA from 1 species
UUACGGCUCAGUAACACGUAGCUAACCUGCCCUUAGAUCAGGGAUAACCUCGGGAAACUGAGGAUAAUACCUGGUAGGAAAUUAUUUCUGGAAUGAGUUUUUUCUGAAACGUAAGGUCUAAGGAUGGGGCUGCGGCUGAUUAGGUAGUUGUUGGUGUAAAAGACUAACAAGCCGAUGAUCAGUAAGGGCUCUUAGCGGAGAGGCCCUGAGAAGGAAUCUUAGACACUAUUCCUAGCUCCACGGGGUGCAGCAGUCGAGGAAAUUUUACAAUGCUCGCAAGAGUGAUAAAAUAAGCCAGAGUGUCUCGUUCUACGAGACUUUUGCUUGCUGCAAAAAGGCAGGCGAAUAAGGACUGGGCAAGACCGGUGCCAGCCGCCGCGGUAAUACCGGCGGUCCAAGUCGCAUCCACAAUUAUUGGGUCUAAAACAUCCGUAGCUUGCGCUGUAAGUCUCUUGUGAAAUCUGACAUCUCAAGUGUCAGGCGUGCAAGAGAUACUGCGACGCUAGAGACCGGAAGACGUAAGGAGUACGAUUGAGGUAGCGGUAAAAUGUGUUAAUCUUGAUCGGACUAACAAUGGCGAAGGCAUCUUACGAGUACGGAUCUGACAGUGAGGGAUGAAGGCUAGGGGCGCAAAAGGGAUUAGAUACCCCUGUAGUCCUAGCAGUAAACGCUGCUCACUAAACAUCGGUACCUCUUAGAGAGGUGUCGGUGCUGUAGGGAAGCCGAAGAGUGAGCUACCUGGGAAGUAUAGUCGCAAGGCCGAAACUUAAAGGAAUUGGCGGGGGAGCAC